rnacentral:rRNA from 1 species
GAGGAAUAUUGGUCAAUGGACGAGAGUCUGAACCAGCCAAGUCGCGUGAAGGAAGACGGUUCUAUGAAUUGUAAACUUCUUUUGUGCAGGAAUAAAGUGGGUUACGUGUAACCUUUUGUAUGUACUGUACGAAUAAGGAUCGGCUAACUCCGUGCCAGCAGCCGCGGUAAUACGGAGGAUCCGAGCGUUAUCCGGAUUUAUUGGGUUUAAAGGGUGCGUAGGUGGAUUGAUAAGUCAGCGGUGAAAGUUUGCAGCUUAACUGUAAAAUUGCCGUUGAAACUGUCGGUCUUGAGUGCAAAUGAGGUAGGCGGAAUGUGUUGUGUAGCGGUGAAAUGCUUAGAUAUAACACAGAACUCCGAUUGCGAAGGCAGCUUACUGGGAUGCAACUGACACUGAUGCACGAAAGCGUGGGUAUCAAACA